CCUGCGGAGGGAUCAUUGCUGGAACGCGCCCCAGGCGCACCCAGAAACCCUUUGUGAACUUAUACCUUACUGUUGCCUCGGCGUAUGCUGGCCCCCAGGGGUCCCUCACUCCGGUGAGGAGCAGGCACGCCGGCGGCCAAGUUAACUCUUGUUUUUACACUGAAACUCUGAGAAAAAAACAAAAAUGAAUCAAAACUUUCAACAACGGAUCUCUUGGUUCUGGCAUCGAUGAAGAACGCAGCGAAAUGCGAUAAGUAAUGUGAAUUGCAGAAUUCAGUGAAUCAUCGAAUCUUUGAACGCACAUUGCGCCCUCCGGUAUUCCGGAGGGCAUGCCUGUUCGAGCGUCAUUUCAACCCUCAAGCCUGGCUUGGUGUUGGGGCACUGCCUGUAAAAGGGCAGGCCCUCAAAUCUAGUGGCGAGCUCGCCAGGACCCCGAGCGUAGUAGUUAAACCCUCGCUUUGGAAGGCCCUGGCGGUGCCCUGCCGUUAAACCCCCAACUCUUUGAAAAUUUGACCUCGGAUCAGGUAGGAAUACCCGCUGAACUUAAGCAUAUC
rnacentral:rRNA from 1 species